rnacentral:rRNA from 1 species
AUUGAACGCUGGCGGCAGGCCUAACACAUGCAAGUCGAGCGGUUGAAGGGAGCUUGCUCCUGGAUUCAGCGGCGGACGGGUGAGUAAUGCCUAGGAAUCUGCCUGGUAGUGGGGGAUAACGUCCGGAAACGGGCGCUAAUACCGCAUACGUCCUGAGGGAGAAAGUGGGGGAUCUUCGGACCUCACGCUAUCAGAUGAGCCUAGGUCGGAUUAGCUAGUUGUUGGGGUAAAGGCCUACCAAGGCGACGAUCCGUAACUGGUCUGAGAGGAUGAUCAGUCACACUGGAACUGAGACACGGUCACGACUCCUACGGGAGGCAGCAGUGGGGAAUAUUGGACAAUGGGCGAAAGCCUGAUCCAGCCAUGCCGCGUGUGUGAAGAAGGUCUUCGGAUUGUAAAGCACUUUAAGUUGGGAGGAAGGGCAGUAAGUUAAUACCUUGCUGUUUUGACGUUACCAACAGAAUAAGCACCGGCUAACUUCGUG